ACUGCAAGGCCUACCUCAAUUACCAUGCAGUCGAACGGCAGCAUGAUCUAGCUUGCUAGAUUGAUGGCGAGUGGCGAACGGGUGAGUAAUACAUCGGAACGUGCCCUGUAGUGGGGGAUAACUAGUCGAAAGAUUAGCUAAUACCGCAUACGACCUGAGGGUGAAAGUGGGGGACCGCAAGGCCUCAUGCUAUAGGAGCGGCCGAUGUCUGAUUAGCUAGUUGGUGGGGUAAAGGCCCACCAAGGCGACGAUCAGUAGCUGGUCUGAGAGGACGAUCAGCCACACUGGGACUGAGACACGGCCCAGACUCCUACGGGAGGCAGCAGUGGGGAAUUUUGGACAAUGGGCGAAAGCCUGAUCCAGCAAUGCCGCGUGUGUGAAGAAGGCCUUCGGGUUGUAAAGCACUUUUGUCCGGAAAGAAAUGGCUCUGGUUAAUACCUGGGGUCGAUGACGGUACCGGAAGAAUAAGGACCGGCUAACUACGUGCCAGCAGCCGCGGUAAUACGUAGGGUCCAAGCGUUAAUCGGAAUUACUGGGCGUAAAGCGUGCGCAGGCGGUUGUGCAAGACCGAUGUGAAAUCCCCGAGCUUAACUUGGGAAUUGCAUUGGUGACUGCACGGCUAGAGUGUGUCAGAGGGGGGUAGAAUUCCACGUGUAGCAGUGAAAUGCGUAGAGAUGUGGAGGAAUACCGAUGGCGAAGGCAGCCCCCUGGGAUAACACUGACGCUCAUGCACGAAAGCGUGGGGAGCAAACAGGAUUAGAUACCCUGGUAGUCCACGCCCUAAACGAUGUCAACUAGUUGUUGGGGAUUCAUUUCCUUAGUAACGUAGCUAACGCGUGAAGUUGACCGCCUGGGGAGUACGGUCGCAAGAUUAAAACUCAAAGGAAUUGACGGGGACCCGCACAAGCGGUGGAUGAUGUGGAUUAAUUCGAUGCAACGCGAAAACCUUACCUACCCUUGACAUGCCACUAACGAAGCAGAGAUGCAUUAGUGCUCGAAAGAGAAGUGGACACAGGUGCUGCAUGGCUGUCGU
rnacentral:rRNA from 1 species